GAAGAAGGGUGCAAGCGUGAAUGGGAAUUACUGGGCGUAAAGCGUGCGUAGGCGGCCUUGUAAGUCGGAUGUGAAAGCCCCGGGCUCAACCUGGGAAUGGCAUUCGAGACUGCGGGGCUGGAGUUUGGGAGAGGGUGGUGGAAUUCCCGGUGUAGCGGUGAAAUGCGUAGAGAUCGGGAGGAACAUCAGUGGCGAAGGCGGCCUCCUGGCCUAAAACUGACGCUGAGGCACGAAAGCGUGGGGAGCAAACAGG
rnacentral:rRNA from 1 species